GGUACUUUGGCCGAGUGGUCUAAGGCGCCGUGUUCAGGUUCAUCCCCCUCGGGAUCAUCCUAAUUCGCGGUCUAGUAAUAGGCGUGGGUUCGAAUCCCACAGGUAUCA
rnacentral:tRNA from 1 species